rnacentral:rRNA from 1 species
GCUCAGAGUGAACGCUGGCGGUAGGCCUAACACAUGCAAGUCGAACGGCAGCACAGCAGUAGCAAUACUGUGGGUGGCGAGUGGCGGACGGGUGAGGAAUACAUCGGAAUCUACCUUGUCGUGGGGGAUAACGUAGGGAAACUUACGCUAAUACCGCAUACGACCUUCGGGUGAAAGUGGGGGACCGCAAGGCCUCACGCGAUUAGAUGAGCCGAUGUCGGAUUAGCUAGUUGGCGGGGUAAUGGCCCACCAAGGCGACGAUCCGUAGCUGGUCUGAGAGGAUGAUCAGCCACACUGGAACUGAGACACGGUCCAGACUCCUACGGGAGGCAGCAGUGGGGAAUAUUGGACAAUGGGCGCAAGCCUGAUCCAGCCAUACCGCGUGGGUGAAGAAGGCCUUCGGGUUGUAAAGCCCUUUUGUUGGGAAAGAAAUCCUAUCGAUUAAUACUCGGUGGGGA